GACGAACGCUGGCGGCGUGCCUAAUACAUGCAAGUAGAACGCUGAAGAGAGGAGCUUACUCUUCUUGGAUGAGUUGCGAACGGGUGAGUAACGCGUAGGUAACCUGCCUUGUAGCGGGGGAUAACUAUUGGAAACGAUAGCUAAUACCGCAUAACAAUGGAUGACACAUGUCAUUUAUUUGAAAGGGGCAAUUGCUCCACUACAAGAUGGACCUGCGUUGUAUUAGCUAGUAGGUGAGGUAAUGGCUCACCUAGGCGACGAUACAUAGCCGACCUGAGAGGGUGAUCGGCCACACUGGGACUGAGACACGGCCCAGACUCCUACGGGAGGCAGCAGUAGGGAAUCUUCGGCAAUGGGGGCAACCCUGACCGAGCAACGCCGCGUGAGUGAAGAAGGUUUUCGGAUCGUAAAGCUCUGUUGUAAGUCAAGAACGGGUGUGAGAGUGGAAAGUUCACACUGUGACGGUAGCUUACCAGAAAGGGACGGCUAACUACGCG
rnacentral:rRNA from 1 species